GUGUGUGCACGCUCGAGCUUUCGGGCCACAGCCACCGCCGCGCGAGCUAGAAGCGCCUUAGCCCGGCAAGCUGGCUCACCCGCUGGCCACCCAGCACAGCCCGCUGGCCCCUCUCCUGCAGCCCAUCUGGCGGAGCGGCGGCGGCGGCGGCGGAGGCAGGAGGAUGGCUUCAGAACUGGCAAUGAACAAUUCCGACCUGCCCACCAGUCCCCUGGCCAUGGAAUAUGUUAAUGACUUCGAUCUGAUGAAGUUUGAAGUGAAAAAGGAACCGGUGGAGACCGACCGCAUCAUCAGCCAGUGUGGCCGUCUCAUCGCCGGGGGCUCGCUGUCCUCCACCCCCAUGAGCACGCCCUGCAGCUCGGUGCCCCCGUCCCCCAGCUUCUCGGCGCCCAGUCCGGGCUCGGGCAGCGAACAGAAGGCGCACCUGGAAGACUACUACUGGAUGACCGGCUACCCGCAGCAGCUCAACCCCGAGGCGCUGGGCUUCAGCCCGGAGGACGCGGUCGAGGCGCUCAUCAGCAACAGCCACCAGCUCCAGGGUGGCUUCGAUGGCUACGCGCGGGGAGCACAGCAGCUGGCCGCGGCGGCGGGGGCCGGCGCCGGCGCCUCCCUGGGCGGCAGCGGCGAGGAGAUGGGCCCCGCCGCCGCCGUGGUGUCCGCCGUGAUCGCCGCGGCCGCAGCGCAGAGCGGCGCGGCACCCCACUACCAUCACCACCACCACCACGCCGCGGGGCACCACCACCACCCGACGGCCGGCGCCCCGGGAGCCGCGGGCGGCGCGUCUGCCUCUGCGGGCGGCGCGGGUGGCGCGGGCGGCGGUGGACCGACCAGCGCCGGCGGCGGCGGCGGCGGCGGGGGCGCGGCGGGGGCGGGGGGCGCCCUGCACCCGCACCACGCCGCGGGCGGCCUGCACUUCGACGACCGCUUCUCGGACGAGCAGUUGGUGACCAUGUCGGUGCGCGAGCUGAACCGGCAGCUGCGCGGGGUCAGCAAGGAGGAGGUGAUCCGACUGAAGCAGAAGAGGCGGACCCUGAAAAACCGCGGCUAUGCCCAGUCCUGCCGCUUCAAGAGGGUGCAGCAGAGACACGUCCUGGAGUCGGAGAAGAAUCAGCUGCUGCAGCAGGUCGACCACCUCAAGCAGGAGAUCUCCAGGCUGGUGCGCGAAAGGGACGCCUACAAGGAGAAAUACGAGAAGUUGGUGAGCAGCGGGUUCCGAGAAAACGGCUCCAGCAGCGACAACCCGUCCUCUCCCGAAUUUUUCAUGUACCCAAGGGACUCUUCUACAUCUGUGAUGUGAGCAAAGCAGUUGCCUGGAGUCAAACAGAAAAUACGAUGCUGGCAUGCUUAUCCCAUGAGACAACUCGGCCCACAAAGCACAAAAACUAAACCCACACUCAGAGAAGAACCAAGAAUGGUGUUUUUCCCGGCGUCCACAAGAAGCGCUUUAUUUUUCCUCUAGAUUUCUUUUCUAAAAAAAAAAAAAAAGAAAACAAACAAAAAACAAAACAGAACAAAAAGGACUGAGAUGAACAUUCAAACAAACGAUCCACACUUCAGCUCUAGCUUCCUGUCCCCACAAUGCCACCUACUCCUACCGGCUCUCCUGGGUCUGAGAAGCUCCAUGGAGACUUAGGAAGACACACAGCUAACCUGCUUGCAGAAGCA